rnacentral:rRNA from 1 species
CCUACGGGGAGCAGCAGUCGAGAAUCAUUCACAAUGGGGGAAACCCUGAUGGUGCGACGCCGCGUGGGGGAAUGAAGGUCUUCGGAUUGUAAACCCCUGUCAUGUGGGAGCAAAUUAAAAAGAUAGUACCACAAGAGGAAGAGACGGCUAACUCUGUGCCAGCAGCCGCGGUAAUACAGAGGUCUCAAGCGUUGUUCGGAAUCACUGGGCGUAAAGCGUGCGUAGGCUGUUUCGUAAGUCGUGUGUGAAAGGCGCGGGCUCAACCCGCGGACGGCACAUGAUACUGCGAGACUAGAGUGAUGGAGGGGGAACCGGAAUUCUCGGUGUAGCAGUGAAAUGCGUAGAUAUCGAGAGGAACACUCGUGGCGAAGGCGGGUUCCUGGACAUUAACUGACGCUGAGGCACGAAGGCCAGGGGAGCGAAAGGGAUUAGAUACCCCUGUAGUC